ACUAAUCUCCAAACCCUGAUUUUCUUCUCUCAUAUUCGCUCCUAAUCCUAUGAAAUUCCAUGGCGGAAAGAACAGCGAAAUCCCGAGCAUGCUGCUACCAUCCCUAAUGACAGACGAUGCACACCAUAAGUUAACUGUAUUCACGUACAAAAAAGAAAAAAAACAGAAAUACAAACCCAACUAUUGUAUUGUCUAUCGAUAAAGGCAUCAUAAUGUUGGUUUAUAAAUCAAUUAUGAAAGGCGAGGAGAAAGUGGGGUUACUUGCAUACACGUUGCAGUGAGAAAGAUAAUUUAUCUGCUAUCAGGUAUGAGCUGGAUUGUUGCUGUGAAGUUUUCAAUGUUUUGCAUGUCUGAUGAGGUUAUAAGAAUAGAAUUUCGCUUAAUGAUAGUAUUUGGUGGCAUUUGCGGAGUAACAUUAUUAAUUUAUUAUGGGAGGAUAAUAACAUUCUUGGAUCUCGGCCACCUGUGAAAAUGGAUAGCCAUGUCUAUCAAGAUUAAGUGGUUCCCCAAAGCUAUGAGUCUAUAACUCCUUACUCGGAAAGACUAUUGUUUCGGCUCCAACUAGGGAGAGGGCCAUUGAACAUAUGAACAGAACUCUCAGUAGCACUGUUAUUACAGCCACAACAAAAAUGGUGCUAUCAACACAUCCAAAAGAGAGAGUGAACAUGACUUCCUAGAGAAAAUUUGUCAAUCCAACUUGGUUGUCACCUACAUAUUUGGCGGCCACCACUUUCUUAAUGAAUUGAGUGUUUGUUUCAAAGUUAAUAUAGAGAUACACGGUAGCGAUAGGGUAGAUGUUUAUGUUAAGAGAAGAAAAUUUCCUGUUGAUAAGAUUGUUCUCGAUGAUUAUGAUUGUGAAAAUAGGGUCAGGAUUUCUCUUUUUCUUUCUAGCUUUACUCCGUUUCUCUUUUAAGACAAGUCAUUUUAUGAUAUAUGUUUGAUUUUAGGAAGGAUCUGAAGGGCCAUAAAAGACAGUUCCAUCUCGAAGUUCUUCAAAAAGAAGAAGAGCAGCGGAAGUUUACGAAGAGAAGGUUGUCCAAUUGAUUUCCUCUUUGUACACUCUUUGAAGGCUCUGCCAAAGAAGCUUGCAAGAAGUCAGCAACAUCUAAUUCUAAUUUUGUUAAACCGACAAACAACACGAGUAGGCCAGCAAUCACGGAACAAUCCAGAAAGGAGAUGAUGAGCGAGCCUUUUUACAUUCAAUCUUGAUACGAGCGUCUAUGAGGUGACUGCCUAAUGGAUCAAUAACUACACAUAAGAGGAACAUUUUAGCUAGCAUAUAUUAUUAAAGAAAAUCGAAAGAGACGCAGAUAUGGCUUCACAUCACUUUUCAAUUGAAACCGAACGUUCUCUUGAGGCCACGAAAGAAGGCAUAGAAAGGUAUCCGGGCCCUAAAUAUACUGACAAGGAAGUGGAGGAGUAUAUGCGUGCCUCUUCACUCGAAGUGGAAGUUGAGCGCAUGCUUACUCAGGCAAGACUUGCUCUCGAUUUGCAAAGAAGAAAUGAAUGGAGAAUUUUUAUGGGGAUUGAGUCAGGGAGAAGAACUGUAAUAUCAAAAAACAAAAGCCUGCAGAUGGAGAAAAAGGCUAAUGUUAUAACUUUAGCUGACCUCAUAAUCUUUCCAGAAGUAGGAGAACAAGGUGGAGAGGCCGUUCCUGGCACCCUUGAAGUCCAUGCAAACGGGUUCAUCUUUUUUUUUUGAUCGAUUGCAAACGGGUUCAUCUAUACAACCUCCAGUCCCGAUAUCCGUUUUCAUUUCUUGUACAGAGAUGUAAAGAAAGCUUUCAUUCGAGUUGAAGAUGAGAACAGGCUGCCUCUCUUGCACUUCCAUUUGCAUUCCCCCAUCAAGGUGGGUGCAGAAAAGAGACAGAAUAUCCAAUUCCAUUUGGUGCAAACCAGGGAUAGUGCCCGUAGCGAAGAGCUAAAGAACUUUGUCUGCAAUGUUCAUGAAAAAUGGACAUACAUAUCUGUACUCCGUAGUUAUCCGUUUGGUGGUGCUGAGAUUCAUAAAAAGGAUGAAUUUCAAGGAAAUCUUCCUUCCAAGGAAACAACCGUCUUUGGCAUGACUUAUGCUGCAGUAGUUGGGCUUGCAGAUGCACCUUUCGUUGUGGCCGACCUAGACGACAUCGAGAUUUUUUAUCUGAGGCUUAAACCUGCGGGAAUAGAUAUGACGAUUGAUUUCAGGACUUCAAGCGUGAUGUGGCUCAAAUCAACUCAGUUCCCAUAGACUGCGGGUCCAUAGUGAAAGAGAUAGCAGAUUCUCCGCGGAAGAUCUUCGUUGAUCGUGGCGGAAGAUUUUAUGAUCUUGAGAAUUUUAAGGCUGCAAACUACACUCCUCAAGUAUAUAAUAUAUUAUGCGAAUCAGAUGAUGAAGGUUUCGUUAAUAUUAUGCCCUUAUAAUCAGAAGUAGGUCUGGAUAAUAUUAAACAAGAUAUGUUUUCAGUCUGCAGUAUGUCCUCCUCCUGCGUAAUCAUGCAUCAAUAUUCAUUAAUUAUCUAAUUAAUGAAUUUAAUGAUAA